CUGAAUCAGUGUGUGUGUUAGUGGAAGCGUCUGGAAAGGCGCGCGAUACAGGGUGACAGCCCCGUACACAAAAAUGCACAUGCUGUGAGCUCGAUGAGUAGGGCGGGACACGUGGUAUCCUGUCUGAAUAUGGGGGGACCAUCCUCCAAGGCUAAAUACUCCUGACUGACCGAUAGUGAACCAGUACCGUGAGGGAAAGGCGAAAAGAACCCCGGCGAGGGGAGUGAAAAAGAACCUGAAACCGUGUACGUACAAGCAGUGGGAGCACGCUUAGGCGUGUGACUGCGUACCUUUUGUAUAAUGGGUCAGCGACUUAUAUUCUGUAGCAAGGUUAACCGAAUAGGGGAGCCGAAGGGAAACCGAGUCUUAACUGGGCGUUAAGUUGCAGGGUAUAGACCCGAAACCCGGUGAUCUAGCCAUGGGCAGGUUGAAGGUUGGGUAACACUAACUGGAGGACCGAACCGACUAAUGUUGAAAAAUUAGCGGAUGACUUGUGGCUGGGGGUGAAAGGCCAAUCAAACCGGGAGAUAGCUGGUUCUCCCCGAAAGCUAUUUAGGUAGCGCCUCGUGAAUUCAUCUCCGGGGGUAGAGCA
rnacentral:rRNA from 1 species